GCGCCUGUAGCUCAACUGGAUAGAGCACCUGACUUCGGAUCAGGGGGUUGGGGGUUCGAAUCCCUCCAGGCGUG
rnacentral:tRNA from 1 species